GCCUCUAUAGCUCAGCUGGUAGAGCAACUGAUUUGUAAUCAGUAGGUCCCGGGUUCGAUCCCUGGUGGGGGCACCA
rnacentral:tRNA from 1 species